AAGUCGUAACAAGGUUUCCGUAGGUGAACCUGCGGAAGGAUCAUUAUCAUAACAUCCACGUUAAACCAUUGUGAAUCGUGCCCGCUUCUUAGUUUUCCUUUUUUGAGAUAAGUAACUUUGCACUUUGAUUGCGCAUCGGGUGUAAGGGGGGCUGUCUUGGGAGGGGGGACUAUCAAGCAAUGUUCUCAUACACACUUGAACCCAUCAUUAUACCUUUGUACUAACCAUUUCAUACUCUUGGCUCAUAACCUUGAGAUGAGAUAAAUACGAAAACAUAAGAACAACUCUUAGCAACGGAUAUCUUGGCUCUC
rnacentral:misc_RNA from 1 species